ensembl:antisense Gm14546 predicted gene 14546
ACUUCCAGUCAUUGGCUUCCGUGGUGUCAGCAAAAUGGUCUGCGGUGCAAAUGCCGACCGAGCAAACAUUGUAAUAAUGCUGAGUUGACUACAGCGAGAGAUGGGAGGAAGCAAUGUUAUAAAUUUCAGGGCCCAUUCAGAACCCAGAAUGACACACGAGAGUUGAGUUCUGGGACAAAAUUAUCAUAGCCGAGACUGCUGAGGUGAUGAUGCGCAUCUAAUAAUUUUUGUUUAUUGAAGAAAACCUCAUCCUUCUCUCCAUCAUCUGUGGGGACGAUCCUGCUCUUGGCUUCCUGAGGUCAUCAUGACACACAAGCUGGCCCACAGUUGCUUUUGGUCACGGCAUUCAUCACAGCGACAGAACGCAAACUAGGACACUCUUGCUGCUUCCCGUCCCACCAGUGGCAAAUACUGCCUCAUCAUACUAAUGCUGUCAUGGAUGGAGCUACUUCACCAUGCCUUCCUCCAACAUGCUUGACUGAAAUUCUUAUGAGCCCAAUUCAAUCCUUCCUCCCCCAUGUUGGUUCUGUCAGGUAGUCUGUUCACAGCAAUGAUAGCAACUAACCCAGUGAUUGUCUUACCUUCUCUACAGACCUCUUCCCGCAACCCUUCUCUCUCUCUCUCCCUUCCUCCCUCCCUCCCUCCCCACCCAUCCAUCAGUUUUGUCAGAAGAACCCUGUUGGUUUUUUAGAGCAGGGAUACAGGACAGAGCAAGAGAGGAGGAACCAGGGGUCAUAGGGAGCUCAGAGGGCCUUAGCCCCACCCUUGAGGGAGAUGAGACUCAGAGAUACAGGAAAUGGGUCUGCCAGAGCGCUGGCACCAGUGUGUCAAUAUUUGUUCGUGUUUGUGAGGCCAGGUUUAAAGGACAAACAUCACCGAGUUAACGUUGUUAGUACUGUUUCCUCCAACAGAUAGGGGAGGACAACGAAAAGAAAAGGAUGAACUAGCCAACAGGUGGAUGUCCUCAGUCUCUCCCUGACUGUGCCAGGUUCUUGUGGGUGACAUACAUCACCCACUGUUUGCUCCAGUCCUCUUAGCAGGAGGGGCUUCACUGACACUACCCCUACAUCCUCCCCACAGGGACAACUACCUACAUCCCUCUCUCUCUUUUCAGAAUAGUUAUUCUGAGGUUUGUUGAUUUAGUUUUCCCCAAACCAAGAAGUUGUUAGUUGGCUUUUCCUUGAAACUUUGGUCAAAUAGAAGCUUCCGGUCAUGUGACGCAUACUCACGUGAUGUGUUUUUGAGGAAAGACCCAAGAGAGGACACAUGAUGUUUGGAGAGAGUAUAGUAAGACUCAGCGGGCGGGGCGGUCGUAUAGCUAGCCUUGCAAUGCUUCGGUUGGUCCUAUCACUCCCACUGACUCCUGCUGAUUUGGCAGAGGCCUAGCAUUUUUUUUUUUCUGGAUCAUGCCACCAUUGCUGAUUUGUGUUUGGUGACACUUUUAAGCUUGGCUCUUGGUAUCCUAACACUACUGAACUGGACUGCUGGUAUCCUGACAAACGGAGAUUGGAAUCAGCCCAAAGAACUGCUUCUAGACAAGUCCACAUCCCUUUGUCCUAUGUACCAUCUUUUCUUCCCUACCCUUGAAUGGUGGGCUAGAAGGGGGAUCAAAACAUUUGAGAACCCUUAUUAAAGUAGGUUUUGAAAAAUCU